CUCAUUUUUCCCGGGCUUUCGGUCGGCGUUUUCCUUUUCUCGCGGGUUUGGGCGCGCAUCGAACUCUGAAGGGUCGGGAAGGCCUGUCGUUGGAAUGUGGUUGAGUUCCAGGGAGUGUACAGGCUGGAGGAUGGGACAAGACCUAUCUCUGUAUCGAUCAAGCACGGCGUUGGUGUUCCAGCUCAUCACCAAUCCUAAGGAAUUCAAGUGCCUCCCAGGAUGAAUACAGGUUGUCUUGAUGGUGAUACAUUCAUCUGUCUUAAGAUCCCUGCUGAUCUGCUCAUGGUCAAACUCCUGGAAAGAGUUGAGAGUGGGGUACCUUGUUCCUGCAUCCUCAAAGGAGCAUCUUGUUCCUCCAUUUAAGCUUCCAGAGUUAAAAGGUACCUGUACCAUUUAGCGGCUUGUUCACUCAAAGAUCCAUCUUUUCUGGAGCCUGAGGAUGAUUGGAGGUGAAAGGUGUAAGCCAUACUCUGCUCAACUCCAGUCUGAAACUAAGGUUUAAAGAAAGAACACGUACUUAACACACGGGAAUCCAACUCUUGGAGGACAUCAGAAGUGGAAUUUUCUUAUACAACCUACCUAUUCAAAUUAGCAUAUAAUCUUUCUAGCCUUUCUAAAUAAAUAAAGGGAUUUUUUUGU
rnacentral:lncRNA from 1 species